UUCCGUAGGUGAACCUGCGGAGGGAUCAUUACAGAGUUGAAAAACUCCCAAACCAUUGUGAACCUACCCUUUAUCGUUGCUUCGGCGGGUGGCGCCGGAGGGCAUAGCCCCCCGCAGCGCCAGAGCUCGUACGCGGGCGCCCGCCGGAGGUAUAUAAUCACUGAUCUUUUGUAUGGCCUCUCUGAGUAUUCUAUACUGAAUAAGUUAAAACUUUCAACAACGGAUCUYUUGGUUCUGGCAUCGAUGAAGAACGCAGCGAAAWGCGAUAAGUAAUGUGAAUUGCAGAAUUCAGUGAAUCAUCGAAUCUUUGAACGCACAUUGCGCCCGCUAGUUAUUCUGGCGGGCAUGCCUGUCCGAGCGUCAUUUCAACCAUCAAGCCCCCGGGCUUGUGUUGGGGACUYUGCGAGCUCUUCGCUCGCAGACCCUGAAAACCAGUGGCGGGCUCGCAAGACACACCGAGCGUAGUAGCAUAAUUCUCGCUUAGGGSUGCUGCGGGUUCCGGCCGUAAAACCGACUCUUCGAGAGAGGAGACACCCAAGGUGACCUCGGAUCAGGUAGGAAUACCCGCUGAACUUAAGCAUAUCAUAGCCGUCAUUAACUUAAAGGAAUUGACGGAAGGGCACCACCAGGGGUGGAGCCUGCGGCUUAAUUUGACUCAACACGGGGAAACUCACCAGGUCCAGACACGAUGAGGAUUGACAGAUUGAGAGCUCUUUCUUGAUUUCGUGGGUGGUGGUGCAUGGCCGUUCUUAGUUGGUGGAGUGAUUUGUCUGCUUAAUUGCGAUAACGAACGAGACCUUAACCUGCUAAAUAGCCCGCAUUGCUUUGGCAGGGCGCCGGCUUCUUAGAGGGACUAUCGGCUCAAGCCGAUGGAAGUUUGAGGCAAUAACAGGUCUGUGAUGCAAUUCA
rnacentral:rRNA from 1 species